AACGCGAAGAACCUUACCAGGGUUUGACAUCCCAGGAAUUUCCCCGAAAGGGGAGAGUGCCUUCGGGAAUCUGGUGACAGGUGUUGCAUGGCCGUCGUCAGCUCGUGUCGUGAGAUGUUUGGUUAAGUCCAUCAACGAGCGCAACCCCUUUACUUAGUUGAAUUUUUCUAAGUAGACUGCCCCGGUAACGGGGAGGAAGGAGGGGAUGAUGUCAGGUCAGUAUUACCCUUACACCCUGGGCUAGAAACACGCUACAAUGGCCGGUACAAAGGGCAGCCAAGGCGCGAGCCGGAGCAAAUCCCAUCAAAACCGGUCUCAGUUCGGAUUGCAGGCUGAAACUCGCCUGCAUGAAGCUGGAAUCGCUAGUAACGGUAGGUCAGCACACUACCGUGAAUACGUUCCCGGGCCUUGUACACACCGCUGUA
rnacentral:rRNA from 1 species